CGGCAUCAUCCAUCCACGUUUCAGUUUCGUCCUGAUGGUGCUUGAAGGGUGCUCACCGCUAUCUCUGUAUCAUUUCUGGAAAAAAUGAAUUUAUUCUAGCUUGAGUUCCACCUACUGCAUUCUGCAAGAAAACAGAACAAAAAAAAAUCUCCCCUUUCCCCCACAAAUUACUAGUUCAACCUCCACAGGUAAACCCAGUAUGGAAGAGUGGUAAGAUAGAAAAAUCUUAUCACCAAGAAACAACGAAGACUAACACCAUAAUGUGAUUUCUUCUCUAGAAAUCCAGAAGAAUAAAAACCAAACAAGAUGGGGAUUAAAACUGGACACACUCAAAAGACAGUUCAAUGUGCAAUCUUCUUAAGAAACGAUUUUUUAAAAAGAUUAUAAAUGACAGGAAAAUUGGUCAUUCUACAUAUUGAGCCAAAAUUCUGGGUAGGAAAGCAAUCCUGUGGGAAAACGUGUAUACAGACUGUAUAAAAACACACCAAAUAGCGAUCAUCUCUGGGUACAAACCUUGUGCCCUACUCGGAACUACUAACCUUCAACAACAAGUAUGUGCCUUUUUUAAGGAUAGGGGAAAAAGUGUCCUUUGGAAGACAGACAGCGGGAACCUUAGAUUUCAAAGUAAUGGAGCUCAGAGGCUCUUAAGAAGUUCUAGAAGUUUCCUUUUGAAAACUAGGUAAUGAGCAGGCGGAGUGGGGGGAGGAGGAGUGGAACCCUAGCCUCAGGAACAUCUGUGCAGAACGCAGGGGCCAUUGUGAGGCGCCCUGGCCAGUGGGGCAGGGAACCCGAGGGCGGGGCAGGCAUUGACAUUGUGACUCUGGCGGGCGGUGGUUGGUCUGUCCUGGCGCUUCAACUCAGGGGGCAUUGUGACGCUCCCCGCGCUCCCGGGUAGGUAAGGUCCUGCUCCCACCACCCUUGCCAUUUUGCCUGCAGUCACCUGGAGCUCACGGUCCUUCAUUCCCGGGGCCGGCACACAGAGCGCGACAGAAGGACCAUGGGAAGAGGGUUGUUGAUCAGGCUUCAGCUUGGGCUGCUGUUUCUGGCGCUGCUCUUGGCUCAGCAGGAGAUUUUUUCACAGGCUGCCGAAACCACGCCCGCCGCCUCCCCCGCUGCCACUGCCACUACUGGCAGCAAGUCUGGCGUCUGCGCCCUCCAGUCUACUGUCAGUGUGAUCAUGGUUUCGCUCUACCUUCUUUUGCGUCUUCACUGUUGAGAAACUCAGGCCGAAAAACGUUUUCACUUCUCCAACUCAUCUUCUAAAACCCAAUCCCAAUGGCUCCUGUGCCUAUCUAGUAUGGUAAGGAAAGCAACAGGCCCUUGUGAAAUCUACGAAUUCCACUCCAUAUUUUCCUGGCGCAGACAACGUUGAGAAGGUCAAAUUUGGUUUGAAGAGCAUCUGAGGAAUUUGACUCACAAUUGACUCUGCCGACAUUUGUGUCCAAGACUGAAAAGAUUGCGAACAGCUGAAAUUAGUGAACAAUCUUGUGAGUGGGGGCUUAAGGAAUAUGGACUCUUAAAACUCUACUUUGAAAAUAAGAAUUUCACCUCGAUCUAGAAAAAAAAAAAUGAGUUGUGCAGUGGAGAUGUUUCAUUCUGAUUCACCAAAUCUGUAAGGCCAUUAAAACAAUUUGGUAAUACCAAAA